rnacentral:lncRNA from 1 species
UCUCGAUCUCCUGACCUCGUGAUCCACCUACCUUGGCCUCCCAAAGUGCUGGGAUUACAGGCGUGAGCCACUGCGCCCGGCCAGAGGCAGGUCUUAAAACUAGCAACUGGGUGAGAAAUCAGUGGGGAGGGUAGGCUUUGACAAAGUAAGAGAUAAAGAGUCUGCUUUCAUAUUUUAGAAAAACCCAGGGAAUGCUGAAAAGCCCAUAGGAAAGAAGAAAUAUGCUGUCAAGAUGUUAGUGAGCCAAGGCCCAGGAGUUUGCUCUCAAAAACAGAUGAGAAACUGGACUUAAAAUCUGACUGGGAGAAAGUACUUUAGGCAAAACAAACUACUCAUAUACAAAAGGAUGGGCUCUGAAGCAGAGAGUGAAGGCAAUAGCUUCAAGAUCGGUGGAUUUAAAACCUAGAAGUAUCUUCUCUAAAAGAUAAAAGAUUAAGAAAGGCUUUAAGAUAGCUAGAGCAGGAAUAAAGUAGUCAAGUGAAUGUGAUACCACAAGGUUCCAGAAGUUUCCAUACUAAUAGAAACAGAUACUAAGUGAAGUUUGAGGGGCCCUCACAAUCUGGAUAGAAAACUCUUCAAGUAGAUCUCAACCUUCAGGCUGGAAUAUCUUUGCUUAGCUAUCCCAGCCAGAGGACCAUAGUGGUUGAUUUCAAAAGGAGUUGCAAUUAUUCUAUCUUGUAAAUUCUCUCAUUGUUAAGUUUUGUCACAGUUUGUUGUUGCUACUUUCUUUCAGUUACCUAGAAAAUGUUUUCUCUGAAAACCUCUAUCCAUGCCUCAACAGAUCGGAGAUAAAAAAGGAAUCAUCUUACAAGAUUAUCAAGAAAGAUAAUGGGCUAGGUGUAUCCUUAAAAGGUCAUUCAAAUGAAAUAUUAAAAUUCUUACUUUUCUGUGUUAUUCGGACAUGGAAUAACAAUAACAGUUAAUGUUUAUUUGGUGCUUACUCUGUAUUUGGUACCAUUUCAAGAGUUUUAUAUGCAUUAUUUGAUCUUAAAAAACAACUCUUUGAGGAAGUUACUACUGUCUCCAUUUUAUCAGUGAAUGAACAGAGAUAGGAAGUCUGGCUCCAAAGCCCACACUCUUAACUAUUAUGCAAUAUUAGUUGUCAAAUGUCUUGAAAAAAAAAUCUGUGUAAUUACUAAAAUAUUACGCUGGGCUACUUAUUAAGGUAAAAUUACGUUUCAAAAAAAUUAAUCCUUUCCAAAUGCAAUGUUAACUAUUCAUGAUGAAAUAUCAGAACUAUCUCUAAUACCAAUAUUUUUAUUGGAAUAAAAUAGGAGGUUAAAGGAAAUGUUUAUAUAUAUAAAUGUGUGUAUAUAUAUGUAUAUACAUAUAUAUAUACUAUGCACACACACACAUACAUAUCUAUGUGUAUAUAUAUGAUUUUUUGCAAGGGCAAAAACCAGAUUUUUUUUAAACACAUAAUCAUUAAAUCUGCAAAUAUCAAGUUUAUCAAUUUUUUGUUACAGGAAAAAAUAGUUUAUUAUAAAUUCAAUGCAUAGCAUUUUCUGGUUUAGACCUUUCCAUUAUUGUUCUGACAGAACAAAGACUAUGAGGUUGUCAGAAAUAAAUUGUUCAUUUUGUUUCCUAAAUAUGUGGCAAAGACAUUGUAUGUUUUUUGUUUGUUUGCUUGUUUGUUUGUUUUAGAAUAGUUUGAAAUGUCUUCAAACCUUUUGACCAACCAAGAAAGCUUUUGCCUGGGCACAGGCUUUAUCUUUCUUAGCAUUACACUAGAGAUACUAAUCCCUCCCAACAAUUUCAUUAUGAUUAUCGCAAUAAAAUAUAACGAUCCAUUAAGUCCAUGGGGCAGAUGUUUAUUUAUUUAUAACCAUGCCUUAUUCCACAGAGAAUUUAAAGAGGAAUAAAAGAUUAUUUCCUCAUUGCAUCAAAUGAAUAUCUUUUAUUUUGUCUAAUGUUGUAUUUCUUUUUCUUUAAUUGGCACUAAAUGUUUAUUUGCAUUCUUUUAAUUACUUUUAAGGCAUCCAUUAUUUCUGGAUUACAUUACUGAACUCUCAAUAAAUCAAUACAUAGUUCUGUAUAUAAUUUUUUCAACAUUUUUUCCUUCUUUAAUUUGGUUCAUUUGUAUCUCCCUUUGCUGUUUAUUGAGUAGAAAUUCUGAUUUUUGUAGCAAAGGGAGAACAAACAAACAACACACAGAAUAUUCUGUAUUUAAUGCUGCAAUUGUCUCUAUGGUUGCAAUGUGUAGGUGGGGUGCAUUCAAGUGGGCUUGUGGUAUUUGUGUGUGUGUGUGUGUGUAUGUGUGUGUGUGUGUUGGAAGAAUAUAUAUUGAGGAUGAUUCCUAAUUUUAUCACUUUGUUGAGGAACUGAAAUUGUGGCUACACAUUCACUCUAAAUAUUUUGUCUCACAGUCCCCUCCCUUCAACAAUUAUAUACAGUACACUAUUUGUUGGAAGCUCAGGAGAAAAAGGGCAUUUAAGAGCAUGAGAUUUGGUGGCAGACUGACCUAAUAGUAGAUGGUACCAGUGAGAUCUUGAGCAACGUAAAUGUUUCAACUGAAAAACGAAAACCUUUUUUUGGAAAGAAUCGAAACUAAAAACCCAACUAUUUAAAAAAUGGAAACUUUUGGCCGGGAACGGAGGCUCACACCUAUAAUCUCAGCACUUUGGGAGGCCGAAUGGGCGGAUCACAAGGUCAAGAGAUUGAGACCAUCCUGGCCAACGUGGUGAAACUCCGUCUCUACUAAAAAUACAAAAGUUAGCUGGGCAUGGUGGCACAUGCCUGUAGUCCCAGCUACUCGGGAGGCUGAGGCAGAAGAAUCGCUGGAACCCAGGAGGCGGAGGUUGCAGUGAGCCGAGACAGCACCACUGCACUCCAGACUGGCGACAGAGUGAGACUCCAUCUAAAAAAAAAAAAAAGGAACCUUUUGCCUUACUUCGUUUGCUAGCUACAUUCAAGUCUGCAAUUAAGCUCGGUGUUUUGCCUUUCUCAAACUGUGCACAGGUCCUCUUGUUUGUUCCCCUUCUCUCUGUUGCCUAGGAAUACAGCCAAAAACUUGAGUAAUAGAUGAUAGAUGGGUCUGUCACUAAGCACAUCCUAGUGACAUAGAUAAGAAGCAAAUGCUACAAAAUUAUAGGUGCAAACUACAAGUUGUGUUUUAAUUGGUUUUAACAAGUACUUAUAAGCAGAAGAACUGUGAAAAAUCUAACAUUUUGUCCUACUUGCAAGCCUGCCAGUCUUUUGAGUGCUGGGCAAAGACACAAUAGUGCUGGGUCAGAGACAAUUAACUUUACUACUCACAUUAAUAGCAUUAGCAAGAGUAUCAUGAUUUUCUUGCACUGAUUCCUCAAGCCGCAAUUCCCACAGAAAAGCUCAGGUGACACCUACAUGCUCAGUGGGUUGCAUUAGAAAAGAGGAACGCAGAGCUCAGGAAACAUGGAUAUUUUAUAAUGGCCAGUAAAGAUGUCCCUUUGCUUUAGAAAGAGGCACUACCUCUAUCCAAGGCUGCAAGCACACCUGCCUUUUGUUUUAGAAGGAGAAAUGAUUUCUAUCUUCCAAGGCUGUUCACUAUAUGAAAAGACAGUCCCAAACAAAAGGCAGUUACUGACUUGCUUGAAAAAUGUGCAGAAAUGAUACGCUGCUUGAAUGUGGACAGCUGACACAGGGACAAGGAGUAAAAAUGAUUAGGUUUUGAGCUUGACCAACUAGGAAGAUAAUUAUUAGCAGUAGAGAAAAAAAGAACAAAGUAGAUUUUAGGGCAGAUAAGCCAUUUUUUAGGUAGGUUGAGUCUGAGAUGCCUCCAUAAAUAUAAGUUGAAAAUAUGAGAUUGGAGUUGAGACUUCAGAAAUACAUAUUUUGAGUAGUUACACUACAGAGGUAAGUCAUCAGAGUUCAUAAAAUUAAAGUGAGAAAAAGAGGCAAGUGAAGAAAAACAAGAUGGCAUUGCAUGAAGAACUUUCUUAGGAAGGAAGGCAGCAAAGAGGUAAAAUUGGAGGUGUAGUCAGAGAUGGAAGAUGAAAAAGGAAAAUAACAAUAUUUCAGAAAUGAAAUGAAAAAGGUCUUUUACUAAGUAAUUGGUACUACUACUUGUCAGUUUCAAGUGCUGUAAAAAAAAUGGGAAGAACCACACAUGUGCACUUUCAGUACUAUGUAUUUUAUGCUUCAGGGAUGCAUACCUGUUUAACAAAAGUAUGUUUUUUCUCAAAGUGUGUUGAAUAGUCCAGAAAAAGAUGGAGGUAGAAGUCAGACUUCAGGAGAUAAAGGAACCAGAAAGAUCAUUGAAGGCUGUGAUGGUAGAAAACAUUUUGACAAAGAGUUGUGCAAUGAGAAAGCUAGGGGUGGGACAAUUAAUUUUGAGGGUAACAAUUGGGGAUUUGAGUAGAUUUUUUGCUUCUGUUCUUUAAUUGUUUUGUCUUCUUUUUAAAGAAACCAAGAGACUGUUAAUGUAGUAGGAGCAGAGUUUCACAAUACAGAGCAGAGAGGGUGUUGGUUGAUAAAGAAUUGUCUCAAAUGAGAGGAAAAGAAUGGAGCCAAUAACAGAGAUGAUGUUUAAUUUGGGAAAGGUGGGACAUGUUAACAUGAGUCCAGAGAACUAAAAUGAGCUUAUGGCAUGCAGAUGCUGAAGAUGAAGAAAGGAAAGGAAGGAAAAGGAGGAAUUUAUAUUUAUUUAUUGAAUAAUCUUGUAAAACUGUUAAUCACCCCUUUUUACUGACGAUAAGACAUAAAUGUCAGAGGUGUUUUGCCUAAAGUAAAAAAUUCGAUAGUCAAGCUGGGUUUAAAACCAUAUCAGUCUUACGUCAAAGCAUGUUUUAAUUGCUGUUGUGUGGUUGUGAUUUUAAGGGAAGAAGAAGAGUUUUAUAAUGGGUUCUCUGAAAAAUAAAAUAUCAAUUAGAAAGAAACAAAACAACUGCUGAGAAGCAGUGAAUCCAAGCAGAAUCUGAGUAUCAUCACUUUUUAGUUAAACUAACCAGUCCAAUAUCCUGAUUUUUCUUUAACAGGCAAAGAAUUUUUGAGUCUUUCCCAUAGACUGAGUUCUUGUGAACUAUUUUACAGCAAUAAUGGCAUCCAAUCCUAUAGAUAACAAUAACAAAGCUGCAGACCAUUUUGUUGCCAGGUUUCUCCUCCAGGGUGGCUUUCCAGCUAGUUUGUAAACAAAUAACUCAGGUGGCCCUGUCAUGUUACAUUAACUAAAAACCAAGUCUAAAGCACACAUAUAAUAACAUAUGUGUGUGCAAACUGGCUUGCUUUCAAAUUCCUAAAUCAUACAAUUAAAUUUUAAAAAUAACUGUAUUUGGAAACAAGAAAAAAGUCACUUUGACACCCAACUGAUGUAUAUAAAGGAGACUGUGCAUAUGGGUUUUAAAAUGAGAUGAAAAUUGAAAUUUGAUCUUUGAGAUUAAAAACAAUGUUAUGUAAAUCUAUUUUUAUUUAAUUUUUCUGAAAAAUAUUGUAUUUGCUUUAUACCCUCUUGCUAUACAAACUUAUAUUGUUUUGCUUACCCUCUUUUUUUAUUCCUCCUACUUUUUCUUAAUUUUGAUAUCUCUGAAUUUAAAGUCUAGAGAAUGAUUCAUCUUCACUAGUUCUAUCUUUUCCAGUGCUAGUAUUUUUGUUUUUGAGCUGUGGUUUCCCUAUCCCAUUUUUGAGAUCUCAAACUAUAAUUUGGUGUCGAGUACCCAGGUAUCUUAUCUUUAAAGUGAAGACGUAGGCAGCACAAAGGUGCUUUUAUUAGAACGUCCACUAGAUCAGAAUGACCAGUGCACAAAAUUUAUUUUCCUAGCAGACUCACCAAAUUUAACCUGGAAGAGAAUGUCUGACUCUGUUGAAUUUUCUUAGGCAAAUACAAUAUUUGAAAGUCACUGAAUGUUUCAAACAAAAUAUAACAACAUUCAGAUAACAGAACUGUGUUAUUGUUCUCAUGUGUUUAUGCCCAGAAAAUAAGCAGACUGGAGCUUCUCUAAGAUUAAAAGUCAAAACAGUAUUACAAUUCCAGCCCAGAUUUGACUAUCUAAUCAUUUAAACCUUAGUAUCAUCAUCAUCACCACCGUCACUGCAUACUCAUUAAGUUAAAAAAAAUUCCUUUAAAAUAAAUGGAAAAGAAAAUAUCUGUGUAAAUAGAUUAAAGCGAUUCCUGCUCACCACUCCCUUUCUCCCUGGGGCAGGAGACUUGAGCACAUCAAAGGAACUCAUAGCGUUCUUGGAGUAAGUGUGAAAGCCACCGUGAUGAACUAAAUGAAUGCUUACAUCUAAAGAAAGAUGUAAACAUAUUACAUUAAAAGGUGGCAUGACAUAAUGGUAUAUCACUGAUUAAGAAAUGUGAGGCGACUUUCAUGUGCCACUGAUAAAUCAUUAUAAUUUGACAUAGUAGAUAAUGCCCCUAUAUUUCAUCUGCAUACCUGGAAAAUGAGGACUUUCAAAACAUAUUCCUGCCAGUUACAGUCAGGUAUUGCAAAACAAGCAUUUAGUGAGCAUCUAAACUGAAGCUUAGAACUUCAGUUUUGUGGCGGGGCGCGGUGGCUCACGCCUGUAAUCCCAGCACCUUGGGAGGCCAAGACAGGCGGAUCACUUGAGGUCAGGAGUUUGGGACCAGCCUGGCCCACAUGGUGAAACCCCAUCUCUACUAAAAAUACAAAAAUUAGCCAGGCAUGGUUGCACGCACCUGUAGUCCCAGUUACUCAGGUGGCUGAGGCAGAAGAAUCGCUUGAACCUGGGUGGUGGAGAUUGCAGUGAGCUGAGAUCCUGCCACUGCACUCCAGCCUGGGCAAGAGAGUGAGACUCCAUCUCAAAAAAAUAAAGAACUCCAAUUUUAUUUUCUUCAUGGCAUAGCAUAAUAGAUGAGUUAACAAAUUAAUGAAACAGAUUGACAUGUGUUAAUUGCAAUCAUAUACAGAACAGAAAUCAUUUCCAUAAAAUAUUUAACCUGCCUGUUACUUCCCCUAAAUCUCUCUGUAGCUGAUGCCCCAAUUUCACUAUUAGCUCUUCAGACUUGGAUGUUAAGCACUGUGCCUUCCCCUGGACCUCUCUUUAAAUGUCACAGCUAUUUCUGGCAGGUAAGACUAUUGCUUUGGUUAGUGUGAACACACACCACUGUGGAUCACAAGGCACCUGAGAGAAAAGGCUGCCGAAAGCAGGAAAAUAACUCAGAAAAAAGAAAAAAAAACACAUGGUGCUGAAAAAUACAACAGAUAUGCAUUUGUAUACUUAUGAUCUAAUUUAUGUCAGUCAUUAAAAGAAAAUAAGGUGUUUAGAAAAUACAGUGCUGUCUAUGGUUAUAUUUAAUAUUGUGACCACUUAAUACAAAGCAAAGCAUUCUUGCUUGCUCUCAUGGAGAGUGCAAUUUAGAAUUGAGAGCUCAAUUUCUAAGGAGGGUUUAUGUACUCUAUCUUGAGGCACACCAAGGAGAUUGAGUUUACCAGUUUAGAAAGCACUGCCAUAAUUCAAGUCAGGGAGAGGGCUGAUGGAAGAUUUUUAAAAGAUUUUAAAAGAUCAUGAGGGCAAGCUGGCUUUUAACAAAACAAAAUAUUUCCAUGUGGCUUCUGGCUGACUGAAUUAAUAAGGCCCAGAGACUGAUCUGAAGGCAAAAGCCUUUAUUUUUUAUUGCAAUGGAGAAAAACUGAACAUUAUUUGACUAUCAGUUGUGAAGUUUAGUAAAAAGAUUUUCACUAAUGGGUGGUUUUAAUAUUUAUGAAUGUGAUGGUUCAGCAAAUUUUCUCCAAUGUUUUGCAAGACCACUAAUUAAUAAUCAUCUUUACAAAUGGAACAUGUAAUUGUCUGCUACUAUUUUUUCUUUGCCAAUGCUUAAUACUUAUUUUGAAUACGUUUUAUUUUUUUUCUAAAUUUCUCUAUUUAUUUCUACCUGAGCAUUUCUUAAUUUUUUUAUUCAGUCCUGUUAUUCUCACUGUAGGAUUUUUAAAAGCUGGUAUAUUAUAUUAAAAUCCUUCAACUGUGAAUUCAGCAAUGUUUUGAGUUCCAGGGAUUCAUCUGGCAUUAGGCUGACCUUGUCAAGCAUAAACAUCAACAUUAAAGAAAAUAUUUAAGAAAUGAAAGGCCUGAAUCAAAAUAAGAGGUCAAAUUUUCCAGGGUGUUUUGUGUCUUGAAAAUCUUUCUGCUGUAAUUACCUAAAGACUGUGGUUAGAUAAUUAUUGAGGGACUUUUGCAAUUGUCCCUUUUCUCUAUAUAGAUCACCACAUUAAUUAAACGAGAGUCUCACUGGGAACAGGUUGCUGUUCUGCAUCUUUAAGUAUUUUUAGUACUUUAUUUUCAAAAGAGAAAAAGAACCACUAAGAAGAAGAUUGCUUCUCAGCCAAAUUUUCUGAUAUACAGAUAUUCUCAAAAGACAAGCACACACACACACGCACACACACACACACACACACACACACACACCCCCCAAGGCUCUGGAAUGUGCCUUAACAAUCUUAUUUUUGCACAUUUUAAAAGGAGGUCAUUAUGAAAUUUGCACAUAUUUUAUGACCUGUAAUGUACUUCUCUGAUCUGAUUUCACUUGAGCUAAUAAAAAAAUACAAAUCAGGUGCUUGCUGUGAUCAAGAUGCUAAAGUUAUAUUUACACUGCUUCAUAAAUGUAAGGUGUUAAAGCUUAGUGAGACAAGAAGUAAACUGAUAAUUGAUUAACCAGGGUGCUAUACAAAUCUACCUAGAGGGUGCCUUCCCAGGUUAAUGCAAUUAUGGGAGAAAGAUCCUGGCUCCUGGCUACAGAAAUGCCAACUAAAGUGUUAUCCACCCCAUCCUUCACUUUGGAGGAUGCGUUAAGAUGACACUGUGCUGUGUCAAAAUGAAAAUACAAACAAAAGCAAAUAAACCGAGUGAUAAUAAAUAAACCGAGUGACUCAGUUUCCUUAUCCAUUUUCCAGUUACCUUUUUUUUUUUAGGCCAGUCUGCAUGUCCACUAGAAGAAAAGGGACCUGGGUUCUUCAUCAGCCCAUCCUUAGAUCUUAGUGCACAUAUGCACCUAGUAAGUGCCGAGCAAAUAUUCAAUGAAUGACUGUACCUUUCCUAAGAAUUCUUCGUUGAUUAUCCUUCAACAGAGCUAACUUCUCUCCCUAUGUGCUCAGUCAAAUGCUCUCCCAUUGGACUGAGUUCAGCAUAAACUGCCAUGUUUUGAGAUGAUUGGUGUAAGCGAAUGUCCUCUCCUGAGUUGCGAGAAUCUAAGAGCAGGACAACAUCACAUGCUUCUCUACUUUCUAUAGUUCUUUUGUCCACUGUCUAACAAAUAAUGCCAAGUGAAAAAGGGAAAAAUGAAUGAAUAAAUUUUGUAAGAUGCCAAUGGAAAAAAACAGAAAAUCAAGAGUUACUAAAAAAAACCACUAACUCCAUUUAAUUGUUUUAGACUAAGAAUCCCUCAGUGAUACCUAGCCAAAAUUAGGAUUCAGAUCCAAAAUAAAAGAUACUGUUGCCCCAAGUAGAUAUCAUAAUUUGUUACAAUAAGUAAAAAUGUAUAUUAUUCAAUACUAAACUGUUAUACCACAUUUCAAGUUUUUAAAACUUUAUCUUCCUUUUAUGCAUAGAUAGUAGUAGAGCAUUAAGAACAUGCAUGGCUAUCACCUGAGGUGUUGAUUGUAAAUUCACAUUCCUAGGCUUUGUCUCUUAACUACUGAAUCGGAAUCUUUGGGAGUGAACUGACAGGAAUCUGAAUUUUAAAAAUAAGGUCUUCAGGUGAUUCUCAUGCAUCUAAAGAUAACUGCUUUAAUAUAUAACAAAGAAACCCAAAGAGGGACACUUGAGGAUUUUUUCAAUAUAUCUUCUUUUGCAGAGAUUAAUAGUGAAUGUUGUUUUAUCUGCUGUUUAGAAUUUUACAUAUGCAUUGGAUGAUACAUCUUCUUUUACUGACAAAAAGGCUUUUCUCUGGAGAAAAUAAAAAGGCAGCUUUCCCUGAGAGCACACACUUCUAGCAAAGCCCCAAUCCAUAUGACUCUAAGACAGAGUGAUUUCCACCUUCUAGUCCUUACUUUCUUGCAAAAGGGGCUUUCAAAUCUCAUUACUGAUGGUCCCAUCUUUUAUUACUGGUGUUAUCAAUGGGAUGCUUGCAGCAGCUUAAGUAUGUGGAUAAAGAAGGAAUGCACAAUAUACGGUACUGAAUAUUUUUAAAAAGUGGUCUUUCAGAAUGUCUGUAUGUGUGGGGGCCCAUGCUUAGGCAUAUGUGCAUGCCAGUGUGUUAUUUAUGUUGAAACCAAUGUUUUACAUUAAUGGCUGGAAUUCCAGAAAAAUAAGAAAAUAUUUGUAUUUUCUAAACCAUUAAAAGUUUAGUGGAACUCAUUAAUAGUCUGUAUCAUCUCUCUGUAUAUUUCAGAAGUACAUUUUAAGUGUAACAGCUAGGGGUAAACUUUCAUAACUGUAUGAUUUGAACACAAGUACAAGAAAUAUUCAAGGUUUUCUUUUCUUUUUUUUUUUUAGAUGAAGUCUCACUCUUAUCGCCGUAGCUAUAGUGCAAUGGCGCUGUCUCAGCUCACUGCAACCUCCGCCUCCUAGGUUAAAGCAAUUCUCCUGCCUCAGCCUCCGUAGUAGCUGGGAUUACAGGAUCCUGCCACCACACCCACUAAUUUUUGUAUUUUUGGUAGAGAAUGGGUUUCACCAUGUUGGACAGGCUGGUCAUGAACUCCUGACCUCAGUCGAUCCACCCGCCUUGGCCUCCCAAAGUGCUGGAUUACAGGUGUCCACCGCGCCUGGCCAAUAUUCAAGUUUACACAGGAAAAAGAAUACUUUCUCUGCAUAACCUUUACUUAUUUACUCAUAAGCCUCUAGUUCUCUCUGGAUUUGACUGUAAAUCUCAACACAUUUCCCAGAAACUAACAUCUUCUGGCUGACUUCUAUUAAAAAUUCAGACAAAGAAAAAAACUGAAUACAAUGGAGAGAGAUUAUAAUACUGCUAUUCUCCCAUUCUCUCUCUCUACAGCAUAUCACCUCCUCCAAAAUCAGUUCAUAUCUAACUCCUAGCACAUUUUUAGUUAAAAAUAUACAUGCACAAAAUAUAUGUGUAAAUACACAUGCUGAUAUCACACAUAUGUGUGUGUGUGUGUGUAUAUAUAUAUACACAAAAGCAGAUAUAUAUAUAUAUAUAUAUAUACACAAAAGCAGAUAUAUAUAUAUGCUUUCUU